GCAGUUAAUCCACUAAACCCAGAGAUAAUUCCUGAGGCAUGUUUAAAGAGUUUUGUAUUUCAUCAAGAAGGUGCUGCUGAUUCACAAAGAUUUUAUAUUUAAGAAAAUCUGAGCAUCAUUCCAAAUAACUGUUAACAUGUUUGUCAACUAAACAUGUUUUGUAAACGUAAUAAACUUUAUAAAAAUAUUUUUUAUUUUUUAUUAAUAAUCAAGUAUAAAGAACAAUGCAUAGUGUGAAAACGCGGAUUAUAAAAAGUAUAUUAAAGAAAAUGACUACAUUUCCCAGAAUGCACCUGCACCUACUCAUCUGCCCCCACCCUUCAGGUGCGACUGCUCAACCUAUGGGCUUGACGGGAAAAUUCAAAAUCGCGAACCGUUACUGCCUGGACUACUCCGUCUCUUAUUUGUUUGUUUGCUCAUCAACAGUAAGAGGUCAUGUACACUGUGGUCAACUUUGUGGACGAUGAAGAGGUUUCUGGGUAAAGAUGAUAGAAAUAUAAUGAAGUAACAGUGAAAGCUAAAACAUCAGACUGAUCCAGACACUGAAGAAAUUGAUGUCACUGCAAUCUGGCCAAAAUGAUACAACUAUAUUGAAGUAGCCUACUGUAAUGAAGCUGCAGAACAACACAGAGAUUCUGAGGACAUCAACACAGAAAAUGAAG